UCUUGGUCAUUUAGAGGAAGUAAAAGUCGUAACAAGGUUUCCGUAGGUGAACCUGCGGAAGGAUCAUUAAAAAUGAAGCCGGGAAACCGGUCCUUCUCACCCUUGAUUAUCUUAAUUUGUUGCUUUGGUGGGCCGCGCAAGCACCGGCUUCGGCUGGAUCGUGCCCGCCAGAGGACCACAACUCUGUAUUACAUGUCGUCUGAGUACUAUAAAAUAGUUAAAACUUUCAACAACGGAUCUCUUGGUUCUGGCAUCGAUGAAGAACGCAGCGAAAUGCGAUAAGUAAUGUGAAUUGCAGAAUUCAGUGAAUCAUCGAAUCUUUGAACGCACAUUGCGCCCUCUGGUAUUCCGGAGGGCAUGCCUGUUCGAGCGUCAUAAUGACCAACUCACCCCCGUGGUGGACUUGGAGCUGGCCUAUUUGGCCUCUCUUAAAAUCAGUGGCGGUGCUCUUAAGCUCUACGCGUAGUAAUUUUCUCGCGACAGGGUCUCGAUUGUACUUGCCAACAACCCCAACUAUUAUAAGGUUGACCUCGGAUCAGGUAGGGAUACCCGCUGAACUUAAGCAUAUCAAUAAGCGGAGGAA
rnacentral:rRNA from 1 species